AUUAUCGACACUCAGCCACGUUGUCGGAGAGAGGCAAUACUCGAUCGGACGUGGGUGUCCACAAUUCAAACCCUCCCGCGUCCCGCCAUUGUCGUAGCGUCGAUCCUGGCGAGUUUCAUAAACUACUACUACUAGCACUUAUUAUCCCGUAAAAAUGUCCAUGUUGAAAACCCUCUUACCAAUCGCGCUCUUGCCUCUUUGUUUUGCACAUCUCGCAAAAUCAGGUACUAUAAUUUUGUUUUUGUGCACCUAUGCUUAUACUAUUCGUGUUAAUAGUUGAUAAUUUUGAUUUUUGUAAUUUGCAGAUGAUAAUAUCCCGACUCUGGCUUUUGCUUUUGGUUGGUUGAAUGAUAAUGACACUUUUGUGGCGGGAGAUGUGGCUACUAUUCAGGUUAUUCUACUCGGAAA
rnacentral:lncRNA from 1 species